rnacentral:rRNA from 1 species
UUUNGAUCAUGGACUCAGAUUGCNCGCUGGCUGCAGGCUUAACACAUGCAAGUCGAGCGGGGAAGGGUAGCUUGCUACCUGACCUAGCGGCGAGACGGGUAGAGUAAUNGCUUANGAAUCUGCCUAUUAGUGGGGGACAACAUCUCGAAAGGGAUGCUAAUACCGCAUACAGUCCUACGCGGAGAAAGCAAGGGGAUCUAUCGAGACCUUGCGCUAAUAGAUGAGCCUAACGUCGUGAUUAGACUAGUUGGUGGGGAUAAACAGGCCUAACCAAGGGCGACAGAUCAUUGUAC